UACUCGAAAAUGAUUCUCCCUUCUCACCAGCACCACAAUGGCUUCUAUAAAUACCACGCACCAGAUAAAAACCUGAUGGAGAAGAAAAACUUUGCUCCCUGCCAUUUCAGUUUUACAGCAAGUCCAGCAAAGACAAUCACCAGUGAGAGAACCUCCACGGCUGCAUGAACCUGUCACAAGACCAUUGGAUGACGUAUUCGAGGAGACUGGUGAUGAAGGAGAGUUGGUAGAAGACAUGGGCAUUUUAUCCUCUGUUAUAUAAGCGUGCACUGAAGUUUCUCCCAUGUCGAGGGCC